CGGCCCCAGCGCGGAUGCCACACUCCGCGCCUGCUGCCCCCGCCCGCAGCGCCCCCUGCUGGCCGGGCGGGGCGGGGCGCCGUGCACCUGGUCCUCACGGCGCAUGCUCGGGCGCGGCAGGCGGGGGAGCAGAAGGCGCGGUGUCUGGGCUAGAGGGUCGCUGCUGCGCUUCCACGAGGUGGAGUUUUAAGCCUUAAGGUCGCCUACAGACGGAUGCUUGAAGGAUUCAAUGGGGAAAAUGUAUCUUCAUCUGAAGUUUCCAAACAAAUCAGGUUUUGUGUUUGUUUCAUGUAAAAUGCCUCCUUUAAAUUACCAAAAUCUUUUUUUUUUUUUUUGCUAUGUUUUGCUGGGCCCGCUGCACCCGAGCCUCAGCAAUGACAAUGCCAGAUCCUUAAACUCCAAGUUACCAAAAUGUGAAGAAAACGUUCUGGCGCAACAGAGAAUGCAUGUGAGGACAAAACCUGCUGGGAGCAGAAAAGAUGUGGGGAAGUUAUCCAUCUAGAUCCAUCCGGAUCCGAAGAAAACAGCCAAACUCCUGCCUGGCACAUCCUGUGAACGGCUAAUCUGUGCAGCAGUGGCUGAGCUGGAGCCCAGAGUCUGCUUCCUGUGGGUGGAGGGCAUUGCCCACCUGCGCCCUCAGUCAUCGCCUGCUCCUUCGAGCAGGUGUUCCUGUAGUCCUCGCUUCUGCAAGCUGUUGCGAUGAAACUCCAGCUCUAGCUAUUGACUUUCUUCCUGGAACACACCCUGCAGUCUCCUGCUGGACGCGCUCUGCACCAUUCCCUGGGCUUGGAAUCCUCUUCCCCAGUAACCUCAUGCCAUGCACCUUCACUGCCUCUGAGUCUUCCCCGCCUCUGAUCCUUCUUCAUACCUGACUGUAUGCUGUUGUCUGCUUCCUACAGCGGAAGUGUGAACUCCAUGAGGUCAGAACUAUGUCUUGUUCAGUGAUGUCUCCCCAGCACCUGGCAUUGUACCUGCUGCAUCAUAGGCAAUUGUAAAUAUCUGAAGUGAAUGAAUGAUGGAUGCAUGGAUAACCACUGACCUCAAAGAGGUACAAUUCCUUGAUGCCACAGACUCAAGGCAAUCAGUGAGCCAGGCUAGGCUCUCUCCUGGCAGCCCAUAUUUCAGUCUUCAGUAUCUUUUCUUUGUUUCUUUUUUCUUUUCUU